GCCCUCGUAGCUCAGUGGAUAGAGCAACGGUUUCCUAAACCGUGUGUCGCAGGUUCGAUUCCUGCCGGGGGCA
rnacentral:tRNA from 3 species